UACGAAGGGGGCUAGCGUUGUUCGGAAUCACUGGGCGUAAAGCGCACGUAGGCGGAUUUUUAAGUCAGGGGUGAAAUCCCGAGGCUCAACCUCGGAACUGCCUUUGAUACUGGAAAUCUUGAGUCCGGGAGAGGUGAGUGGAACUGCGAGUGUAGAGGUGAAAUUCGUAGAUAUUCGCAAGAACACCAGUGGCGAAGGCGGCUCACUGGCCCGGAACUGACGCUGAGGUGCGAAAGCGUGGGGAGCAAACAGG
rnacentral:rRNA from 1 species